UACGUAGGGUGCGAGCGUUAAUCGGAAUUACUGGGCGUAAAGCGUGCGCAGGCGGUUUUGUAAGCCAGAUGUGAAAUCCCCGGGCUUAACCUGGGAAUGGCAUUUGGGACUGCAAAGCUUGAGUGCGGCAGAGGGGACUGGAAUUCCUGGUGUAGCAGUGAAAUGCGUAGAGAUCAGGAGGAAUACCGAUGGCGAAGGCAGGUCCCUGGGCUGACACUGACGCUCAUGCAAGAAAGCGUGGGGAGAAAACAGG
rnacentral:rRNA from 1 species